rnacentral:rRNA from 1 species
AGUGGAUGGGGAGCAACCUAGUUGUGCGUGUGUAAAGGUAGUGCCAAGAAAAGCGAUGAUCAUGUUGAAAAUCAAUUCCCGGUUCCCGAAACCGACACAGGUGGGCAAGUAGAGAAUACUAAGGGGCGCGAGGUAACUCUCUCCAAGGAACUCGGCAAAAUGACCCCGUAACUUAGGGAGAAGGGGUGCCACCGAGAGGUGGUCGCAGUGAAGAGGCCCAGGCGACUGUUUAGCAAAAACAUAGGUCUCUGCAAACUCGAAAGAGGAGGUAUAGGGGCUGACGCCUGCCCAGUGCCAGAAGGUUAAAGAAGUUGGUCAGUCUUAGGAUGAAGCUAGCGACUGAAGCCCCGGUGAACGGCGGCCGUAACUAUAACGGUCCUAAGGUAGUGAAAUUCCUUGUCGGGUAAGUUCCGACCCGCACGAAAGGCGUAACGAUCUGGGCGCUGUCUCGGAGAGAGGCUCGGCGAAAUAGGAUUGUCUGUGAAGAUACGGACUACCUGCAUUUGGACAGAAAGACCCUAUGAAGCUUUACUAUAGCUUGGAAUUGUGUUCGGGCUUCCUGUGCGCAGGAUAGGUGGGAGGCGUAGAAGGUAUUCUUGUGGGGAUACUGGAGCCAACGGUGAGAUACCACUCUCAGGAGGCUAGAAUUCUAACUUAAUUAAGGACAGUUUCAGGUGGGUAGUUUGACUGGGGCGGUCGCCUCCAAAAAGGUAACGGAGGCGUACAAAGGUUCCCUCAGACUGGUUGGAAAUCAGUCGAAGAGUGCAAAGGCAGAAGGGAGCUUGACUGCGAGAAGUACAGUUCGAGCAGGGUGGAAACACGGUCUUAGUGAUCCGACGGUGCUGUGUGGAAGGGCCGUCGCUCAACGGAUAAAAGUUACUCUAGGAUAACAGGCUGAUCUCCCCCAAGAGUUCACAUCGACGGGGAGGUUUGGCACCUCGAUGUCGGCUCAUCGCAACCUGGGGCGGAAGUACGUCCCAAGGGUUGGGCUGUUCGCCCAUUAAAGCGGUACGUGAGCUGGGUUCAGAACGUCGUGAGACAGUUCGGUCCAUAUCCGAUGUAGGCGUGAGAAUAUUGAGAGGAGCCUUCCUUAGUACGAGAGGACCGGGAAGGACGCACCGCUGGUGUACCUGUUAUGAUGCCAAUUGUAAACGCAGGGUAGCCAAGUGCGGAGAGGAUAACCGCUGAAAGCAUCUAAGUGGGAAGCCCACCUCAAGAUGAGUAUUCUGGUGUAAGGUCACGGGAAGACGACCCGUAAAUAGGCACGAGGUGGAAGUGCAGAGAUGUAUGAAGCCGAAGUGUACUAAUAGACCGUCGGCUUG